GAUGAACGCUGGCGGCGUGCUUAACACAUGCAAGUCGAACGGAAAGGCUCCUGCUUGCAGGGGUACUCGAGUGGCGAACGGGUGAGUAACACGUGGGUGAUCUGCCCUGCACUUCGGGAUAAGCCUGGGAAACUGGGUCUAAUACCGGAUAGGACCACAUUUUGGAUGGUGUGGUGGAAAGUUUUUCGGUGUGGGAUGAGCUCGCGGCCUAUCAGCUUGUUGGUGGGGUAAUGGCCUACCAAGGCGUCGACGGGUAGCCGGCCUGAGAGGGUGUACGGCCACAUUGGGACUGAGAUACGGCCCAGACUCCUACGGGAGGCAGCAGUGGGGAAUAUUGCACAAUGGGCGCAAGCCUGAUGCAGCGACGCCGCGUGGGGGAUGACGGCUUUCGGGUUGUAAACUCCUUUCGCUAGGGACGAAGCGUUUUUGUGACGGUACCUGGAGAAGAAGCACCGGCUAACUACGUG
rnacentral:rRNA from 1 species